rnacentral:rRNA from 1 species
UACGGGGGGGGGCAAGCGUUGUUCGGAAUUACUGGGCGUAAAGGGCUCGUAGGCGGCCAACUAAGUCGGACGUGAAAUCCCUCGGCUUAACCGGGGAACUGCGUCUGAUACUGGAUGGCUUGAGUGUGGGAGAGGGAUGCGGAAUUCCAGGUGUAGCGGUGAAAUGCGUAGAUAUCUGGAGGAACACCGGUGGCGAAGGCGGCAUCCUGGACCAUUACUGACGCUGAGGAGCGAAAGCGUGGGGAGCAAACAGG